AGUGAACGCUGGCGGUAGGCCUAACACAUGCAAGUCGAACGGCAGCACAGUAAGAGCUUGCUCUUACGGGUGGCGAGUGGCGGACGGGUGAGGAAUACAUCGGAAUCUACUUUUUCGUGGGGGAUAACGUAGGGAAACUUACGCUAAUACCGCAUACGACCUACGGGUGAAAGCAGGGGAUCUUCGGACCUUGCGCGAUUGAAUGAGCCGAUGUCGGAUUAGCUAGUUGGCGGGGUAAAGGCCCACCAAGGCGACGAUCCGUAGCUGGUCUGAGAGGAUGAUCAGCCACACUGGAACCGAGACACGGUCCAGACUCCUACGGGAGGCAGCAGUGGAGAAUAUUGGACAAUGGGCGCAAGCCUGAUCCAGCCAUACCGCGUGGGUGAAGAAGGCCUUCGGGUUGUAAAGCCCUUUUGUUGGGAAAGAAAAGCAGCAGGUUAAUACCCCGCUGUUCUGACGGUACCCAAAGAAUAAGCACCGGCUAACUUCGUG
rnacentral:rRNA from 1 species